ACAGGUGUGACACAGGUGUGAACAGGUGAGACAGGUGUGAACAGGUGUGCAAACCCCCCCACGGCGCUCCUCGAACCUGCCUGCCACAGGUGAGAGACAGGUGUGAACACGUGUGAACAGCAGAGACAAGAACAGGUAUGUUUCAGGUGUGCGCAGGUGUAUUUUAGGUGUGCCCAGGUGUGUUUUGGCUGUGCCCAGGUGUAUUUUAGGUGUAUUUUGGCUGUGCCCAGGUGUGUUCUGGGCGUGCCCAGGUGUGUUCUGGUUGUGCCCAGGUGUGUUCUGGGCGUGCCCAGGUGUAUUUUGGGUGUGCCCAGGUGUGUUUUAGGUGUGCCCAUGUG